rnacentral:rRNA from 1 species
UGGGGAAUUUUGCACAAUGGGCGCAAGCCUGAUGCAGCGACGCCGCGUGAGGGAUGAAGGCCUUCGGGUUGUAAACCUUUUUCGCUCAUGGUCAAGCCGCAGCUUUGGGUUGUGGUGAGGGUAGUGGGUAAAGAAGCGCCGGCUAACUACGUGCCAGCAGCCGCGGUAAUACGUAGGGCGCGAGCGUUGUCCGGAAUUAUUGGGCGUAAAGGGCUUGUAGGCGGUUGGCCGCGUCUGCCGUGAAAUCCUCUGGCUUAACUGGGGGCGUGCGGUGGGUACGGGUUGACUUGAGUGCGGUAGGGGAGACUGGAAUUCCUGGUGUAGCGGUGGAAUGCGCAGAUAUCAGGAGGAACACCGGUGGCGAAGGCGGGUCUCUGGGCCGUUACUGACGCUGAGGAGCGAAAGCGUGGGAGCGAACAGG